rnacentral:rRNA from 1 species
UAGUAGUCAUACGCUCGUCUCAAAGAUUAAGCCAUGCAUGUGUAAGUAUAAAUAGUUAACUUUGAAACUGCGAAUGGCUCAUUAUAUCAGUUAUAGUUUAUUUGAUGAAGAAUACUAAUUGGAUAACCGUAGUAAUUCUAGAGCUAAUACAUGUAUAAAGUCUUGUAGACUGCAUUUAUUAGAAUGAAAACCAUAGGUUUCGGCCUAUUCGUGAGUAAUAAUAACUAAUCAUAUCGUAUGCUUAUGUAACGAUGUGUCUUUCAAGUUUCUGCCCUAUCAGCUUUCGAUGGUAGUGUAUUGGACUACCAUGGCAGUAACGGGUAACGAAGA